rnacentral:rRNA from 1 species
UACGUAGGGUGCGAGCGUUGUCCGGAAUUAUUGGGCGUAAAGAGCUUGUAGGCGGUUUGUCGCGUCUGCUGUGAAAAUCCGGGGCUCAACCCCGGACUUGCAGUGGGUACGGGCAGACUAGAGUGUGGUAGGGGAGACUGGAAUUCCUGGUGUAGCGGUGAAAUGCGCAGAUAUCAGGAGGAACACCGGUGGCGAAGGCGGGUCUCUGGGCCGA